rnacentral:rRNA from 1 species
UACGUAGGGGGCUAGCGUUGUCCGGAAUCAUUGGGCGUAAAGAGCGUGUAGGCGGCCCGGUAAGUCCGCUGUGAAAGUCGGGGGCUCAACCCUCGGAUGCCGGUGGAUACUGUCGAGCUUGAGUACGGAAGAGGCGAGUGGAAUUCCUGGUGUAGCGGUGAAAUGCGCAGAUAUCAGGAGGAACACCAAUUGCGAAGGCAGCUCGCUGGGACGUUACUGACGCUGAGACGCGAAAGCGUGGGGAGCAAACAGG